AACGAACGCUGGCGGCAUGCCUAACACAUGCAAGUCGAACGGCAGCACGGACUUCGGUCUGGUGGCGAGUGGCGAACGGGUGAGUAAUGUAUCGGAACGUGCCCAGUCGUGGGGGAUAACGUAGUGAAAAUUACGCUAAUACCGCAUACGAUCUAUGGAUGAAAGCGGGGGAUCGCAAGACCUCGCGCGAUUGGAGCGGCCGAUAUCAGAUUAGGUAGUUGGUGGGGUAAAGGCCCACCAAGCCAACGAUCUGUAGCUGGUCUGAGAGGACGACCAGCCACACUGGAAAUGAGACACGGUCCAGACUCCUACGGGAGGCAGCAGUGGGGAAUUUUGGACAAUGGGCGAAAGCCUGAUCCAGCCAUUCCGCGUGCAGGAUGAAGGCCCGCGGGUUGUAAACUGCUUUUGUACAGAACGAAAAGGUUUCUACUAAUACUAGGAGCUCAUGACGGUACUGUAAGAAUAAGCACCGGCUAACUACGUGCCAGCCGCCGCCGUAA
rnacentral:rRNA from 1 species